GGAGCGAUGGCUUAGUAAUUAAAAGCACUGGUCACUCUUCCAGAGGACCUGGGUUCAAUUCCCAGCACCUACA
rnacentral:tRNA from 1 species